GCUGGCGUAGCUCAACGGCAGAGCAGCGGUUUUGUAAACCGCCGGUUGGAGGUUCAAUUCCUCUCGCCAGCUCCA
rnacentral:tRNA from 1 species